rnacentral:rRNA from 1 species
UACAGAGACUGCAAGCGUUAUUCGGAUUCACUGGGCGUAAAGGGUGCGCAGGCGGCCAAGUGUGUUAGGCGUGAAAGCCCGGGGCUUAACCCCGGAAUUGCACCUAAAACUACAUGGCUAGAGCUUGGAGAGGGUGAGCGGAAUUCACGGUGUAGCAGUGAAAUGCGUAGAUAUCGUGAGGAACACCAGAGGCGAAGGCGGCUACCUGGACAAUUGCUGACGCUCAGGCACGAAAGCGUGGGGAGCAAAAGGG